AUGGCCGCCAAGGUACUCUCUCGAUCUGCUUCCCUUUCCCUUUCCUUUUUUCCUUCCCUUCCCUCCCUCAUGCGCAGCCUGCUUUGGUUUCCUUGCAGUGCACAGACGCAACCGCACACGCGCAGCAGCGUUGCUGAUUUGUUGUGUGAGGCAGCAGGCGAGGUAAAUUUGACCUUUUGGCCCAAAAGGAUCAAUGUGCUGGAUGAUGAAUCAAUCUCUAUAUAUCUGUUAUUGAAUGGCUGCCCUGUGAAUGGUUCUACACUCUGCGAUGAACAGAUCGUUGCGCGGCAUGGCUUGUCGGCAUGUUCAUGUAAUGAGUUGUUGGUUGCCAUAGCAUAUAGAUCACUUAUAAAUGAAAAUGGCCGAUUUAACUCAGCUCGGUCCAUUUUAACUCAGUUCAUUAAACUGAAAGAUGCUCUUGUCUGGCCCUUGAAUAAAAUUCCACUAGGCCUAUGCACCGUUGGACGGGGAGAUAUGUUGGAUGUUCAUGCAGAGCCAUGUACCAUUCUAUUCUCUGUGACCCUGACGACGGAGGCUGCCAGGACAGAGCCAAUGGCUCCGGCCAGCGAAGGGAAGGCAGAUGGCGAGUGGGAAGCUAUAGCCUCCUGCAUGCGCAUGGUAGAUUCAGUUGUGCAACUUGCAAAACCCAGAUUGCAACGCGGCUCGGUGGGUGUUGUGCUCUUCAACCACUUGGAGGCGGACUUUGUCGUGAAGCAUGUUGGCCACGUCGAACAGAUGAUCAUCCAGGUGAUUUUGACACCAGAGGUCUUCGAGGUGGAGGUCCUCGACGCCACCGUUCGGGGGAGGGAGGAUUCGGGUACAUUGGCGUCUGAACUCCGAGCCUUGGUAGAUACAUUUAGAGAAGCGAUCUGUUUAGGUUGGUGGUGGACCACUAGGGGAGAAACAUCAGAUUCACUAGCAAGUCUGAAUGCUCUUCAGGUGGUAUUGAGGCGGCAACUGAAAGAACAGAGAUUUCUUCUUAUUCUGGAUGAUGUAUGGCCCAGCGCCAAUCAAGAAUGGCAGAGAUUCUCAGCUCCACUAAGGUUGCUGAUCUUGUUGGGAGUUCUUCAAGAACUGUGCCUUCCUACAGAUAUAUUUUGGGAGUUCUUCAAGAACUGUGCAUUCAGUAAAAAGAACCCAGAGUCAUAUCCUCAACUGCAAGACAUUGGUCAGAGCAUUGCCUCUAGGUUGUGCGGGUCUCCUCUGGCUGCCAAAACACUCGGGCGCUUGUUGAAUAUGGAGCUGACUAAGCGGCACUGGGUAACCGUCCAGAAUAGUGAAUUGUGGGAGCUACCACAUGAGGAGAAUGAGAUAUUACCUGCCCUUCAACUGAGCUACUUGUAUCUCCCACAGGAACUUAAGAGAUGCUUUGCAUUUUGUUCUAUUUUCCAAAAAGAUUAUAGCUUUGAAAGAGAUAAGAUAGUUGACAUCUGGAUGGCACAUGGAUUUGUUGCAUCAGGAGGUAGUACACGCCUUGAAGAUAUAGGUUAUCAAUAUCUUGAUGAUUUAAGAAGCAGGUUUCUGUUUCAGGCUGAUCCCAAGUUCCCUAGACAAAGUAGAUAUGUGAUGCAUGACUUGAUCCAUGACAUGGCACAGUCUGUUUCAGUGGGUGAGUGCGUCCUGAUGCAAGAUCCGAUCUACAAGAACCUUAGGAGAAUUCCACACACAGUUCGCCAUAUGUCAAUUGAGGUGGAUAAUUUAUCUCUAAGCAGAAUAGGAGGCAUUCAACAUCUGAAUAAAUUGCAUUCACUUAGGUUUGGUAUGAGAUACAAGUUUGAUAUUUCAUGGCUCAAGCAUCUCUGCAACAUUCUCCUAUUGUGCCUAAAUGGUUGCAAUCUGUCAAAGCUACCCGAAAGUGUUUGUGAGUUGCACAGUCUUCGUUGUCUUGACAUAUCUGAUAGUAGUAUCGAAGAAUUACCUGAGAAACUCUCAUGCCUUCACAACCUAGAAUAUAUUUAUGCCGAACAGCCAGUGUUCAGAGGAAUCCAUCCCAGUAUAACAAAGCUUGUUAAAUUGCAUCGUUUAGCACUGCCAACCCAUGUUGCUAUCGAAUUGUCUAAAAUAAGUGGGCUUGGAAAUCUUUCAUGCCUACGGAACUUGCCCUAUUUUACCGUUGGAACAGAGAAUGGGCGGAGAAUUAGUGAGUUGAAGGGCAUGAAUCAGCUAACUAGAGAGCUAAAUAUCCGUUCUUUGGCUGAUGUACAAAGUAGGGAAGAAGCUGCUGAGGCUAAGCUUGUCGACAAGCAAUACCUCAAGGAAUUGAGACUAGAGUGGCAAACUCAGGCAUCCAUAUUGAGGAGUGGUGAUAACGAGAUAUUGAAAGGCCUGCAUCCUCCUUCAAGCAUUGAGAGCCUUCAUAUCGAGAAUUUUGAAGGUGAUAACUUUCCUCCGAGUUGGUUAAAUCAAGAAAACCUACCUGCUUUAAGAACGCUGAGUAUUUCCCAUUGUCAUGGCUUCAAGAAGUUUGUUCCACAAAGGAGAACACCAGAUAAAGUUCAACUACUCACAACUUUUGCUGAUGGCGGUACACUAGGUGAUUCAGUUGGUGUUGAUAGUACCCAGCAGGCUAGUGUCAAUUGCAACAAUUACAAUGGGUAUCUUCCCUUUGUAGGUCUUGCUGUUUUACAUCUUCGCUACUGUCGUUGUCACAACGUGGAUUCCAUUCUAUUGAACUCAAUCAACACAAGCAAUCUCAAGAUUCUUGUUCUCAAAGACUGCCUCGAGUUAUCGUUCAUCGGAGGAUCACAUGCUCUUUCAUCCAUUAUGAGUGUGCACAUAUUGGGCUGCCCUAAGCUUACCCAUGUACAACAACCAUUGUUCAAGAACGAACUAAAGGAGGAAUUCCUCAUUAUGGCACGAGAGAAGCAGAGAGAGCGCCGCCUCCCCCUUUCUCUGCUUUGUGCUGCCUCGCCCCUUUCUCUGCUCUGCGCCGCAAAGCUGGAUCGACGGCGACGAGCGCGUCUCCUAACCGCACCGACAGCAACGGGCUCGACGGCGACGGGCGACGCCACGUUCCCUCACCACGCCGGACGCAGAAAGACGCGCCUCCCUUGGUUUCUCGCCGAACGUGACGAGCAGGAGCAGGUACCUCCUUCCUUUCCAAUCCCUAGCCGCAACUCUCUGAACUACUCUUACGCAUGUGAUGGAUCAAUGGAUGGAUGGAUCGAUGGAUGUACUCAUGUAGUUCUUCCGUCCCAAUCCCUAGCCGUAGGGCUAGAUGGAUGGAUCAUGGAUGGAUGUAUUGUAGCCUACGCCUAUCGUCGCAACAAUGGACAAGGAAAAGGGGAAGGCGAAUGGGAAGGAGAAGGAGAAAGAGAGGCCUUGGACUUCAUUAUGAAGAGCAAGGUGCCGGUCUCGGGGAUGCAGAAGGGGAAUGGGAAGGGCAAUGCAGCAGCUACUACGCGGCUGCCGAGGAAGAUAGCAAAUGAUUGCAGCAAUGCCCCAAUCGCUGAGUUGUUGUAUAGGGUAAAAAAGAAACCUCCGCCUCGGCGUCUCCCUGACCCCACCGGCGCUGGUGUGCGUGCCGCAAUCGCCGCUGCCUCCGGCUCCGCAAACUACCAUGAGAGGUCAAAGUGA
rnacentral:rRNA from 1 species